GCCUUAGUAGUACAAACAAUACCCUGGUCUUGUAAACCAGAAAUGGAGAAAUACAUCUCCCUAAGGCA
rnacentral:tRNA from 1 species